UACGAGGGGUGCAAGCGUUGCUCGGAAUUAUUGGGCGUAAAGGGUAGGUAGGUGGUCUCAUUUGUCCGGGGUGAAAGCCUUGAGCUUAACUCAAGAAGUGCCCCGGAAACGGUGAGACUAGAGUCCUGGAGAGGGUCGUGGAAUUCCCGGUGUAGCGGUGAAAUGCGUAGAUAUCUGGAGGAACACCGGUGGCGAAGGCGGCAUCCUGGACCAACACUGACGCUGAGGAGCGAAAGCCAGGGGAGCAAACGGG
rnacentral:rRNA from 1 species